CGCUACCUCCCGCAUGGUCCCCCCGAGGGAGAAGCCGCAAGUCGCCCACCGGCUCCGCGGGGGUUACGCGGGACCCUGCGGCAUCCGCUGGUGCGCAGGGAAGUGUUUGCCGGGCCGGAGCUCCCCCCGGCCCCGCGGAGUUCGCGUCGGCCCCUCCGCUACCGGUGGGUGAGGGGAGCCACGAUCGCCACCCCCGCCGCAGCCGGAGCGGGAGACCAGGCUCCCCCUUCCCCGCGGGGGCAGGAUGGAGAGGACCCCUAGCGCUGACGAUUACAUAAAUUGUGUGGCUCUUCCCUGAUGCUCCAUAAAUGGCCACUGGUCCCAAAUUAGCAUGUGGGUACUAUGAUUGAAGAAUAUGAAGUCCUUAGUUAUAAUGUUUGUAACCGAGUUCAACAGCAUUUAAAUAAAUUUCUUCUGGAUGAGACAGUUUAAAGACAUCUGUUGGGUUGGGUUAAGUAACUGGCCUUCGAAUGCAACUGCUCAGACUUUCUUCAAAACAGCCAAGUUCCUCUCUGUUAUAGGUUACCCUGUAUUAUUGUCAGUCCUUUGUUGAUAUACUUGUGGUACCUGUCUCUCUCUCUGAUUAAAAGCAGGAGUAUUCUGAGAUUCUGAUCCUACUCAGCAGUAGUUGCAUUGACACUCUGCUUGCAAGCAGCUGGUUACUAAAGGCUGAAGCCAAUGUCAUCAUUUUGUUUGUAUUAUCAUGCUGAGUCCAAACUUUGCCAUUUAAAUACAACCAGAUGUUCCUUAGCAGAGCCAUUUUGAAUGCAGAAUAUUACAGUACAACCCCGUCAGUGCUGAUCCACUCUUCCACCUUUGCUUGU